AAGCACCUUACAAGUGUCCCCUUGGGGUGUGCCAUGGCAGUGCCCUGCCUUUGCACCCCAACCCAUCCAGCGUUUGCAUUUCCUGGGCUCUUUGAUGCUCUGGUGAGCACGGGGAGGUCAGACGUGGUGUGCAGGCCAUGGGCUUCCAGGUGAAACCCAAACUGAGGUCCCCGUGCAGUUGGGGUGCAUGUGAGAGUGCUCUGUUCCAGCUGUGCUGAGCAGGGAGGCACCGCAGGAGCCGUGGGCUCACUCCCGUGGCAGGCGCUUGUCUCUUUCUCCCUGGCCGGGUACUCUCAGCUGGGAUUUAUUUCUGCCAGGAGCUGAUGGCAGCUGCUUCACACGCUGAAAGGUGGAUAUCCAUCAUCUGCUCUGGCCAGCUGCUCUGCUGCUCGUGCCACGCAGAUUCACAGUUUGGGGUGAGAUCCGUCUGGUGGUAUGAUAGCCAGGCUGGGAGCUAGGAAAAGCUUAGCGAGAGGUCAGCGGUGGAGAUGGAUUUUGCUCUGGUAUUUCUCUGCUGGCCAGCUCGGGAGAUGAGCCUGCGUGGCUGCAGGCACUGCCCGCUGCAUCCCUGCUGGCUUGUAGAGUGCCCACAGGAGGGCUGGAGAGCUGCAGGAAGGGAGCAGGCUCUUGGAAGGGCAAAGUCAGACUGGGCUCUGUCCUUGCCUCAUCGCUCCUGUUUCAUCUGAUGGAUCUGCACAGUCAAAGCCGUGAUCCUGAGCUGGCAGAGGAGGAGCAUCCAGGCUGCGGGGGCCGCCAAAGCAGCUGCUGCCCUCCCUCCCUGCUGCCUGUGG